GGAGCACUCUGGGUGGCGUCAUGAACACACCAGGUAUGUUUGGAAAAAGGUGAGAGAUCAGUUUAAUUGCUGGAUAGGGUUCCUACGAGGUUUAGUAGUAAACAAAACUGGAAAGGUGGCAGAGGAUCUGCCGCCGAGAGUCAGAGCGCGGGGAAGGAAGGCCAUGCUGCAUGGAGAGCGCCAUUAGACCUUGUCUCAGAGCGCGGGGAAGGAAGGCCAUGCUGCAUGGAGAGCGCCAUUAGACCUUGUCUCAGAGCGCGGGGAAGGAAGGCCAUGCUGCGUGGAGAGCGCCAUUAGACCUUGUCUCAGAGCGCGGGGAAGGAAGGCCAUGCUGCGUGGAGAGCGCCAUUAGACCUUGUCUCAGAGCGCGGGGAAGGAAGGCCAUGCUGCGUGGAGAGCGCCAUUAGACCUUGUCUCAGAGCGCGGGGAAGGAAGGCCAUGCUGCGUGGAGAGCGCCAUUAGACCUUGUCUCAGAGCGCGGGGAAGGAAGGCCAUGCUGCGUGGAGAGCGCCAUUAGACCUUGUCUCAGAGCGCGGGGAAGGAAGGCCAUGCUGCAUGGAGAGCGCCAUUAGACCUUGUCUCAGAGCGCGGGGAAGGAAGGCCAUGCUGCAUGGAGAGCGCCAUUAGACCUUGUCUCAGAGCGCGGGGAAGGAAGGCCAUGCUGCAUGGAGAGCGCCAUUAGACCUUGUCUCAGAGCGCGGGGAAGGAAGGCCAUGCUGCAUGGAGAGCGCCAUUAGACCUUGUCGGGUCUGGGUUCUCUCCCAACCUCUUGGUCAAGUGCUUCUCGGACGGACUGAAUAUACACUGGGAACCCACAAACGAGGCGCACCCUCAUGAGAAGGCUUUCAGCACCAUUGCGCAUGCUCUGUUUUCAUUGAAUGGAAAGAGAAGAAAACUGGCAUUUUUUUGAGCACCCACUGUAAACAGACACAGUACUCUGUGUGUCACAAACAUCAAUUCACUCUGUACUCUUUCUCUAUAUCUACAUAUAUUUCUAUGUCUAUCUAUCUAUCUACCUGUCUAUCUAUGUAUCUAUUAGUACAUAUGCCCAUUUAGUGAAAGAGGAAACUAAUAUUCAGACAUCAAAUAAUUUUUCAAUGUGAAACUGGAAGCAAGGCAUGAUCUGUGUGGCUCCAAAGACUAUCCUCUUUUUCCUUCGUUUUUACUUUUUAAAAUUAC
rnacentral:lncRNA from 1 species